UACUACCGAAUUCCUUCACUCACUUCCUCCCUUCUCUAUUCACUAGAGCUCGCCUUCAGCUCGCUGGGCCGAAAAGAUAAGGACCCAUUUCCUUAGGGGAAUCAGUUCUUGUAACAGUUAAUCGACCUGCUAAGUGCUGAAGCACCCAAGUGCAGCUUUAAAUUCCAGCUUUUCUCUGCCAACUGUAGAUGCUCCUUAACUGACCGUGACCAGUCGAAGCUGUGGUGUUGUCUUCAGAAAGCCACUGUAAGACUCCUGGAAUGUCAUCUAUGUGAGAACAGA